AAGUCUUAAGCAACUUUUGUUGUUUUUGAUUAUUUUAUCUUUGAUUUUACCGUAAAGCCAAGAUGCAUGAGAACCAACAAGAAUGGAAGCAAAAGAUUUGAAAUCGGAAGCAAAUAUUAGAGAAGUAUGAUUGACGAUAUUUCUGAUUAGUCGUCAUUCUUAUGAUAAGUUAUCAUCUUCAUCGUCAUCUUUAGACAGAGAAUAG
rnacentral:lncRNA from 1 species